AGAAUGGGAAAGAAUGAUACAAGGAAAGAAUGAUAUAAGGAAAUAACAACUAAUAUCCUAAUAUCUCAACUUUCCUAAUAUCUCAAUAUUCCUAGUAUCUCAAUAUUCCUAAUAUCUCAAUAUUCAUAAUAUCUCAACUUUCCUAAUAUCUAAACAUUCAUAAUAUCUCAACACUAAAUGAUAUAAGGAAAGAAUGAUAUAAGGAAAGCAUUCCU
rnacentral:lncRNA from 1 species